rnacentral:rRNA from 1 species
CCUACGGGCGGCAGCAGUGGGGAAUAUUGGACAAUGGGCGAAAGCCUGAUCCAGCAAUGCCGCGUGAGUGAUGAAGGCCCUAGGGUUGUAAAGCUCUUUUACCCGGGAUGAUAAUGACAGUACCGGGAGAAUAAGCCCCGGCUAACUCCGUGCCAGCAGCCGCGGUAAUACGGAGGGGGCUAGCGUUGUUCGGAAUUACUGGGCGUAAAGCGCACGUAGGCGGCUUUGUAAGUUAGAGGUGAAAGCCUGGAGCUCAACUCCAGAAUUGCCUUUAAGACUGCAUCGCUUGAAUCCAGGAGAGGUGAGUGGAAUUCCGAGUGUAGAGGUGAAAUUCGUAGAUAUUCGGAAGAACACCAGUGGCGAAGGCGGCUCACUGGACUGGUAUUGACGCUGAGGUGCGAAAGCGUGGGGAGCAAACAGGAUUAGAUACC